rnacentral:rRNA from 2 species
UGGGGAAUAUUGCACAAUGGAGGGAACUCUGAUGCAGCGACGCCGCGUGAACGAAGAAGGCUUUCGAGUCGUAAAGUUCUUUUAUAUGGGAAGAUAAUGACGGUACCAUAAGAAAAAGCCCCGGCUAACUACGUGCCAGCAGCCGCGGUAAUACGUAGGGGGCUAGCGUUGUCCGGAAUCACUGGGCGUAAAGGGUUCGCAGGCGGAAAUGCAAGUCAGUUGUGAAAGGCAGAGGCUCAACCUCUGUAAGCAAUUGAAACUGUAUUUCUUGAGAUGUGGAGAGGCAAGUGGAAUUCCUAGUGUAGCGGUGAAAUGCGUAGAUAUUAGGAAGAAUACCGGUGGCGAAGGCGACUUGCUGGACACAAACUGACGCUGAGGAACGAAAGCGUGGGUAGCAAACAGG